AUGAACUCUUUCGCACGGCUC
rnacentral:sRNA from 1 species